ACGGUGGGUGAUCUGCCCUGCACGUUCGGGAUAAGCUUGGGAAACUGGGUCUAAUACCGGAUAGGACCAUCGUUUAGUGUCGGUGGUGGAAAGUUUUUUCGGUGUGGGAUGAGCUCGCGGCCUAUCAGCUUGUUGGUGGGGUAAUGGCCUACCAAGGCGUCGACGGGUAGCCGGCCUGAGAGGGUGUACGGCCACAUUGGGACUGAGAUACGGCCCAG
rnacentral:rRNA from 1 species